AUAAGCAAAAGCCCAACAAAACAUAACCCACCUUCUUCCUCUUCUCUCCUUUUCUCCCGUUCUCUUUCUCUCCCUCACGCUCUCCCAGUCCCAGCGCCGCCGUUUCCCAGGCAGUGCCGUCGCUCUCCCCUGCGCCGGCUGCCACACCCCACUCCGGCGACCCCUCUAGCCGUCGCCGGCCUGAAUCGGUUUCUUGGCUCCUCGCUUCUCUGCCCCUAAGCUAACCCCAGCCACCGGUCUCCUGCCGCUGCAGCCGCCGUGGAGAUGGCCGGUGGAAACACAGGCAACUCCGGUGGCUGCAUCCCUCUCCUCCAUAGCUGAGCUACCUAUUCCAUCCUCCCAGCUCUGAUCCCUAUUGUGAUAUACUGGUGUGGUGUCCUCUCUUGUAUGGUGUUGUUUAUAAACGGUGAUCUUCAAUCUCCUGAUUACCUGCCAUGAUUUUAGGUGAUUAUAUGGUUCCCUACUCUGGUUCUGCAGCUACUCUUCUGGACUCUGAUUCAAGGGUUCUCCUGAUGGAACUCUGAUUUCUCCUCUUUGAGCUGAAGCACCACCUGCUCCUCCAGAAACUGAAACCCCUCUCUUCUUGAAGCUCAAGUACCUCCUACUUGAUUUGCACACUUGCUACCGAUUUCUUUGAUUUCUUGUUCUUGCUGAUUUUACCUCCUAAUCCAAUUUACAACAGUUGCCUACUUUCUUUCUUGAUUUGAAGCUCCUUAUUUCUCCUGGAUCUCAAGCAUCUCCUACUCUAUUUCUUUCUUCUUGUCCUGCUUCUGCUGUUACUGAUCCAUCUUGAUCCAUCUUGUUUCUUGAGCUGGAGUACCAUCUCCUCCUAGAGCUGAAAUCCCUGUUCAUGUAGGAACUGAACACCCCUUCUUCUCCUUUUACUCCUCUGACCUCCCUCUCUAUGGUUGCUUGACCACGGAUGCUAUAGUUGAGCUGUGGUGUGGUUGAGAUGUAGAACUUUUAGUUGGUUAUCACUCUUUCUCCCAAUCUCCACUGAUUUCCAGCCGAGGCUGCUUGCUGUUGUUGGGAUCUUACUACUACUAUGGCUGCUGUACUACUGGGAGUUGCUAGCUGCAGCUAGGUGUCUAUCGUUGCAACCAAGGCUGGCUCUACCUGACUCUGGAUAAUUCACAUUGAUAUGCUUUAUCUCAGUGCAUUUGGUGCUGCUGAUUCACCUGCUUGGGCCACAUGUCUGCUGCUAGCUUUGACACCUCACUCUUGCAUGCUCGGUGGAAUAAAUCUAAAGCUCUAUACUAAUUUCCCAAUUAAUGGAGAUUUGGUAAUGUCUGAUAUGUUUGUUGCUUUUGCAAUUGAGUCCCUCAAGUUUAGUGAAAUUGGAGUUUACUAUGAGUUUAGAGACUGAUGUGCAAUUACCCUAAAACUCAAGAGUUUUUCUGAAAAAUAAAUAAUUAUUGAAUCUUUGACGAGAUGGUUCAGUUUA